CUUCAAAGCGAUGCGUCUCCCGGUGAGGACUAACAGCUGCCAGCCCACCUCACUCGAUUUACGAUCGAUGUUUUUUCGAUUCCCGGAUGAAUUAUUGGCCUUGUCAGGUGCACACAUUGAGAA
ensembl:ncRNA R10E12.5 ncRNA